GAUGAACGCUGGCGGCGUGCCUAAUACAUGCAAGUCGAGCGAACGGACGAGAAGCUUGCUUCUCUGAUGUUAGCGGCGGACGGGUGAGUAACACGUGGAUAACCUACCUAUAAGACUGGGAUAACUUCGGGAAACCGGCGCUAAUACCGGAUAAUAUUUUGAACCGCAUGGUUCAAAAGUGAGAGACGGUCUUGCUGUCACUUAUAGAUGGAUCCGCGCUGCAUUAGCUAGUUGGUAAGGUAACGGCUUACCAAGGCAACGAUGCAUAGCCGACCUGAGAGGGGGAUAGGCCACACUGGAACUUAGACACGGUCCAGACUCCUACGGGAGGCAGCAGUAGGGAAUCUUCCGCAAUGGGCGAGAGCCUGACGGAGCAACGCCGCGUGAGUGAUGAAGGUCUUCGGAUCGUAAAACUCUGUUAUUAGGGAAGAACAUAUUUGGAAGUAACUGUGCACAUCUUGACGGUACCUAAUAAGAAAGCCACGGCUAACUACGUG
rnacentral:rRNA from 1 species